CGCCGUGAAAUAAAUAAAAAACAAUAUAGUAAUAAAUGGUUGGGAGAAGACCAAAUAUCAGAAUAAGGUUCACGAUAAGAAUUGUCUUCAAGAAAUGGCUUUGAUUUUUCAAACGGACUUCAGCAGUUUGACGAGUAACUUCAGAGGUUAUGUUAUCUAUAGUCUGGCGUUGUCGUCGUAUUGAUAGGAACGCAAGAAAAUACAUUACAAUAGUUCCAAAGUAAAACGAUAUAUAAAUACAUGAUUGCACAAUGGUUUCAUAAAUUUGUUCCAGGUUGGAAUUUCGCAGAGCGAUGGAUAUUCCCGAAUAGCCGAAAUUAAUAAGCCACAGAGCAACCGUCCAAUAACCACAAAAGCGACGAGUUACGUAAACUUUGUGCCAUAAAGGUCGAGAAAUAGCGAGGUAUCUUU